rnacentral:rRNA from 1 species
ACGCUCGACACCUACGGGAGCAGCAGUCGGGAAUAUUGCGCAAUGGAGGAAACUCUGACGCAGUGACGCCGCGUAUGGGAAGAAGGUUUUCGGAUUGUAAACCAUUUUAGACAAGGAAGAAACAAGACAGUACUUGUAGAAUAAGCUCCGGCUAACUACGUGCCAGCAGCCGCGGUAAUCUGAGCGGCUGGCAAGGC